UGGUAAAGUUAUUUAAGCCACCAGGUGGGA
rnacentral:piRNA from 1 species